CGUUUGGUUUUGCCCCUUAGGCCUGCGUCGUGCGCUCUUCGGGCCUCGUUGCGCCGGGAUGAGCUGCGCUCUUUCUCCAUGGAGACCAAACGCCCUGAGAUUCCCGGCAGCGUCUUGGACGACCUGUGCAGUCGAUUUAUUUUGCACAUUCCAAGUGAAGAACGAGACAAUGCAAUUCGAGUCUGUUUUCAGAUUGAGCUUGCCCAUUGGUUUUACCUGGAUUUCUACAUGCAGAACACACCAGGAUUACCUCAGUGUGGGAUAAGAGAUUUUGCUAAAGCUGUUUUCAGCCAUUGUCCUUUUUUGCUUCCUCAAGGCGAAGAUGUUCAGAAGGUUUUAGACGAAUGGAAAGAGUACAAAAUGGGAGUGCCAACUUAUGGUGCAAUCAUUCUUGAUGAGACCCUUGAAAAUGUGCUACUAGUUCAGGGUUAUUUAGCAAAAUCUGGCUGGGGUUUUCCAAAAGGAAAAGUGAAUAAAGAGGAAGCUCCACAUGACUGUGCUGCCAGAGAGGUAUUUGAAGAAACCGGUUUUGAUAUAAAAGAUUUUAUUAAUAAAGAUGACUAUAUUGAAUUAAGAAUCAAUGAUCAGCUAGCACGAUUGUAUAUCAUCCCGGGAAUUCCAAAGGACACAAAAUUUAAUCCUAAAACAAGAAGAGAGAUUCGGAACAUUGAAUGGUUUUCAAUUGAUAAAUUGCCUUGCCAUAGAAAUGACAUGACACCGAAGUCGAAACUAGGUUUGGCACCUAACAAGUUUUUUAUGACCAUUCCCUUCAUUAGACCCUUAAGAGACUGGCUUUCUCGGCGGUAUGGAGACUCUUCAGAUAGUGACAAUGGGUUCUCAUCUGCCAGUAGCAGCACACCACCUAAAUCCAAUAUAGAAAAACAGAGAUCCAAACUCCAUUACAGUCAGCAGGUGUUUACAGAUACACCCAUGGGAGACCAAUCAACAAGGCAGAGGCAAUUACAGCAACAAAAGCCAUAUAACAAUCAUUUGGAGAUGCCUGAAGCUUUAAAACUAAAGAAUGCACGAGGCAAUGGCAAAAAGCAGUAUCAAGAUAUUCCUAAUCAAAAAAAGAGAACAAAUGGAGUUCAGAAUCAGCCAGCCAAACAGAACCAAACUUUGGUAAGAUGCACAAAGAAAUGUGAAAAGAAGCAUCCAAGAAAGCUUCAAGAUAAUUUUGAAACAGAAACAGCGUGUGAUUUGUGCUAUCUCACUGAAGACCAGCAACUAGAACGUGGACAAUCGGUGUCAUGCAAUGGCCAUUGCAAAUUCUCUUUCUCCUCACGUGCUUUUCUGAGCUUCAAGUUUGACCAUGAUGCGAUCAUGAAAAAUUUUGACCUCUGAAGCUUGGUUAUUUGCACAAGCUGACUAGAGUCCUGGCACAGAGCAAUUGAGUGGGUUUUUAAAAUCCAACUUUUACAUUUUCUCAGGUUUUAAAGCAAUGCAGGGACCUAGUGGUGGACUGGAAGGUUUUGUUCUCAUUGUAAUAUGGGAGUAGCACCAUAUAGUGUUGCACUUUAAAUGCAGUCUAGCUUUUACCUGCAAAAAUACUUUCCAGUAUAUCAUUUAGUAGUUCCUAGCUAUGCAUUAGUGGGCAUUUUUAACUCAUUUGUUGUCUGUCUAGAUUUUGGAGGAGUAUUUUACCUUUGCCUGUGUUAACCUUUUACACAUUUAAAUUGCUCUGAUGUAUGAUAAUGGUUUUAUUUGUGAUACUUUGUGAUACAGCUGCUGAAAACAUACAGAUUUUCUGAAGAGAACAAUAUUCUGUACUGAGCAAGAAGCUAGGUGUUUUAUGAUUCAGAAUGUUGAAAAACAACCUUUUGUUCUGAGAGAAUCGUUCUGCCUGGGAUCUUAUAUCAUUCAAAUCAAUUUAUUUUCCACAUCUUCAUUAUUGCACUGUAUUGGAACUUUUUAAAAAUAUAGGCAUGAUUUAAAUUGUAUUACUAGUGUGAUAUUUUAUCUUACUUUCUAUUCAGUAGUUGCAUUGUUUCAUCUCCAGUGAGAAGAUGGUGGUGAUAUUGGAAUGUGUCUAAUAUAACUUUUACUGUUCCCCAUGUGUGAAAUGUCUAAAUUGUUUCUAACCAGAAUUAUAGGUAUUUUGAAAAAUAAAAUAUGAAAAUGUAUGUUUAGGGAGUUAAUUGUAGCAGAUAGAAUAAAUUAGUUUUGGAAAUAGUACAAAGAAAACUAACAACAACAUUAUAUGAAACUACAUAGCUUAUUGCUUCUGUGGAAUCCAAACUAAAGAAAAAAUACUCCAGCCAAUCUCAAAGCCCUAUUAGUUACACUGCCUCUGGCAAAAGUUUCAUGGAUGGUCUGAGGAAGCUUUCUAGUCUAAUGGAGCUAUAGAGUUUAAAAUCUCCUCCUAAAAGUAGCACAAGAGGGAAUUAACUAUGCCUGCCAAUAUCAGAUUGGCAGAACAGAUAGCCUGAAUCAGGAAAAAGGAGCAUCAUUGAAAAGCUGGUCCUUUCCCCCCCCCCGGAACACCAGAUGUUGAGACUGUGCCAUUUACUGCCUGUAGGAACACCACCAGUUGACCUAGAAGGGUUUCCACAGUAAUGGAAUUGUUGGCAGAAGGGCACCAUCACCCUAUGCUAAUCCCUUCCUUCAAACAAGAACAAGGGCUUUUUGUUAGGUUUCUAUCAUUUUAUUUCAGUAUUUUGGUCUGACUUAAAAUUGAGUUUGAUUUCAGAGUAGUAGCUCAAAAAUGCUUUGUGCUACAUCAGUGUAAACAUAGAAAGGAAUAGCAACAAUCAAUAAAACCUGAACUUAUAGGCCUAGCCCAAAAUACACUGAUGGAAUGCAUGUAAAUACAGAUUGUAUAAAAACCUCUACUGAAUUUUGUUUCCUCAGUGCUCUAGCCGUAUUGUGACAGUUUGGAUUCACAGUAUUCACUUAGAUUUCUGAAAUUUAAUUAGAAUAGGCUUGAAAGUUAAGCAUAGCCCAUUUGCUUGCAAAAUUCUUGCAACAUAUAACUACCCUUGUUAAAGGAUCAUACAGUGAAAUUUAUAUAUAACUACCAUAUUGUAAGCCUUCAUAACAGCAAAAUAGGUGCAGACUAAUUUCCAAGUAAGUUCAGUUUUCUUUAUUGAUCAUUUUGUAAAUAAUUAAAUUACAGACUAACCUAAUGGCUAUAUGCCUGCUUUCUGCAUCCACAUUUAUUCAUAACAUGAAGUUAAUGGAAUUUGCAUAUCUGUUAAAAGUAAGAUAGUUGAAAAACUGGUGAUGAAGAUGCCAUAUUCUUUUGUUUAAUCUUCAUCUGUGAAAAUAACCUUUUGGUCAGUAUUUAACGCAGGUUGAAUCCUGUAGUAAUAAAAGUGCCUAAUUUACUAACUUCUCAAUCAUUGAAAAUUGGAUUUUCAGGCUGCUAGUGCCAAUAUUCUUCUGAUUUCCAGGAAUGUUACUGUUUUAUGCUGCUUCCUUUGUGUGAUGCCAUUAAUAAGAGGAACUUUGGCACAGUUAUCUGUAUUUUGAAUAUGAGGUGCUUAAGUGAUAUACUAGCAAUGUGAGAUUAAUUUUCCUAGCUAAAGUAACUUUUAUAGGGCACACAUUCUUUGCUUUUGAAUAUAGACGGUGUUUUCUGUUUUGCAGAGAAUAAUUUCUUAAGAAAAUCCAGUGUCUGACUACUACUUUGUUGAUGGCUUCCCAGGGACUCUAAAAUACUAAUUUUGGUUUAAUUAACCUAGCGUUAAUACAGGUUGCAAAUUAACAUAGUAACAUGUGCAAUAAUUAUCUCUUUUACUGGAUAUUAUAUAGCACAUGACUAUAUUUCUUAAUUUGACCCUAUCAUGUAUAUGGUCUUCAAGAAUGGAAAAUAAUGUAGUAGUUCCUGGGUGCCCUGCACUGUGAACAUUUCAGAUUGUUUACCUCUUUGGUUAGUAAUUAUGCUUUUAUUUUUUGCAAAGAGCUUAAAUAUUAUACCCACAUAUUCCAAAAUGCAGGCAUAUGCUUUUCUUAGGUUUCUAUAUAACAGUGAAGAAAAAAACAACAAUUCAUUGGCUAUAACUGAUUCUUGUUUUCUCUAAUGGGUAAUUUUAAAGGAUGAAAAAUAAAUGAUCUAUGAAUGGGUCUGAAUUCAUCUCCAUUAAAAAAAAUACUGCUUGACUGUUUGAUUCUUCACUGCUGUUUAGCAGAGGACAUUGCAAUUAGUAAUUUGCCUUACUUAAUUGAAUUAUUAAGUAUGUCCACUUGAGUCUUUUAAAGAUCAAGUUAAGUCUGCUAUAAAAACGUAGACUGUAAAAUAAUCUUUAGGGAGUGUUUUCAAUAUGUAUGCUUAGUAAAGGUGAUUCAUUCUUAACCUUCGUCUAAUCUUAGGGAUUUAUUUUGUGUGGCAUGAAGUUUCAUAUCUUUAGAUGCUUUUGAAAUGUUCAGAUUGAAAGAAAUAUUCCAGCUUCAAUUGUUCAUUUUCCCCCUGGAUUUAUUAGCUAAAUUUAAGCAGAAUUUUAAUAAAUUUGGUAUACAAUUGUGCAUGUUUGUUUCAGUAUAAACUUAGAUUUUGUUUCCAAGGCUGUCCAAUAUAUAAUGUAUGUACCACACAGUCGAGUGAUGUAUUAAUAUAACCUUUUAUCCAGUUUUUGGUUAUUAUCACAAAGUAGCAAGUGCCGAAUGAGUUAAUGAAUAUGUGCUUAAAGCAGACAUGUUUAAUCUAGAAGUGAUGGAUAGUGUAAGUGCCUAUCUUUUUUUUUCAUUGCUGCUUGCCUGAAAUUGAUCAAUGACAUUCUUUCUGUUUGGUAGCAGUGUUGCCUCAGAUGCUGUUUUAAAUUGCAGAUCAAAUACUUGGUGAGCUUUUUCUGGUUAGAUGUGUAGACUUUGAUUUUCCUAUGCUAGAUCAAGUAUGUGGAACAUGGAUAUUUUUGUACCUAUUAAUCAUGAAGCACUCAGUUCAGAUGUUCUGCUCCUGCUUUCUUAUAUUUGAAUUCUUAUACAUACGUUUAAUCAUGUGCUGUACUGUGAAGGCUUCCUUAUAGGAAAGCUGCCUAUUACUAAAGCCGAAAUUCGGUAUUCUUUUUCAAGAAGCAGGAAUUUGACUUAAACUGCUACUAUAUGCUGAAAACACCGAUAGAUGCAAAAUGUCCCCAAUGCUUAUAUUCAGUAUACAUUUCAUUUGUUCUUCCAAGUAUGUUUGUCAGAAAUGAUGCAAGAAGAUCCCAUUUUUCUUACCUGAUUCUUGAAAAGAUCUGUGUUUUUAUGGGUUUUGAAGCACACAUCCAGCUUUUAGUAUCAACAGAGAAUCAGCCUUUUGCUUCAGCGAUCAGGAUUCAUCAAUCAUACUUGUUCCAUACGUUCAAGAUUUUGAACUUUCCUUAGGCAACAGUAUCUCAUACUAGAUGGCAGUGAUUUUUUUGAAACCAGGGGAUGUUUCCAAAGUAAUUUUGUAUAUGAAAAAAGUUUCUAAUGCAGUUUUGUAUGUGUGUGGGUGGGGUGAAUGAAAAUACUGCUGGACACAUACAAGCUUUUUGAUGUGAUAAAAGUAAUUAUAAUUUGGUUAAGAAACACCAUAAAUAUUAAAGAACUGAAAUGAACCUGUAAUUUUAGAAAAAUAAACCGCAUUUUGGGGUCCUGUUUUGAAAUGAGUUUUUCUGAAGUUGUUACUAUAAUUUAAUGUUGUGUAAAAAAAAUAGCUUUUUGCAACAUAUUGUAAAAUGUAAAUUUUUUUCUAUUGGUAAAUCAGUUAAAUAGUCGAGUGUCAUAAAAUGAAUAUUCAGUAUGCAUUGUGGCUUAUUUCUAGAAAAUGUAUUUUUUUUUCCAUAAUGGCAGAUAUAAAUAUAUAAAUUUGAUGUCCAAAUUAGUUUUUCUUGACCAGUUUAUUCUUUAAAGAUCGAUCUUAAUUCAUUGUAGUGAGUGGCCUCUCACCACAUGCCUAAGGUGUUUUUAUUUUUAAAUAAAAUAAUAGUUAAUGUUCACUGUUAUAUGGUAUAAAAGAAUGACACUGCAAUAGUAACAGCUUGUUUUUGAUGAGAUGGCAAUUAAAAUUAUAACCGAAAAUGCAGUAGUAGUGGGUAACAAGAACCCAUUUGGGAAUUUGAAUUAUUAGUUCACAGUGAUCUAAUAUAUUUGGUUUAAAUAUCUUUAUUGCUUGCCAAGACUUAUGGAAGAUUUGAGGCAAUGGACACUGCAGAUUUUUGCAAUCAUUCGUUUUUAUUGUUUUACCAUUUUUAAUAGCAAGAAACGUUGGUUCUGACCAAAGUGAGGAACAAUGGGUUGGUUAGCAGAGCAUUUCUUCUAUUAUAUGUUAGAGGAUAGAAUUUUUUUUCCAUUCAUAUUUUUAAAAUAAACCAAGAUUGUCUUUGAAAUAUAAUAAGAUGCCAAGUAUCUACGGUGUAUGGUUUUAUAUGUUCACCAAGAUAAUUUGUAUUUUGAAAAGAACUAUAAGAACGGGACUUGUGGUAACAAUUUGAAACAGUAUGUUUCUGAACUGCAAGACUGCAGUAUGUUGCUUGGACUUUAUAACUGACAUAUUGCAAAGAAACUGCAACUAACAUUUAUUUACAUACAGUACAUUAAUAUAUAUUAAAUGAUAGCAGUAUUUAAAUUGUAAACCACCGUCAAGCAUCUUGCCCUUAACAGGGAAUUUCAGUGAACUUAGGUUGCAUUGCCACCAGUGUCUUUAUUACUUUCUGGAUCUUCUUAUAUGUUUUCCAUUUAUAUUUUUUAAAAUAAAUCAAGAUCGUCUUCAAAAUAUAAUCAGAUGUCGAGUAUAUAAUGUGUAUGGUUUUGUGUGUUUACUGAGAUGUACUUUAAAAAAUAACAGCUAUAAUGUUGCUACAUUUAGCUGAACUUGCUCAGAAAUUUUCCUGGAUUAUGGACUUUCCUUUUUCAGGAUUCUUGAUUGCAAGAUGCUUUCCUGCUCAAAAGGAAAAUAGCAUAUUUUGCAAUAAGAUAUACAAUAGAAGCUAUUUUUAAGCAUUUUAUCCAGUAUUGGUUUAAAAAGUGCCAUAUUCUAUAUUGGGUGGCUAAAUACAUUUCUAAAAUGAUGAGUUUUGUUAAAUAAGAAAUACAUUAUGCACAAUUCUUAUGAUAUUAAACAAUUUUCAGUCAUAACAAUCAUGUAAACAAAUGUAAAGUGGAGGGUGAUCUUAAGUUGGAUAUCCUCCAGCUGUGCAAAUGUCAAGCCUUAAAAUUUCCAAGCCAACACUGAAGUCUGCAUAGCUAGAAUAGGCUAUGGUUGGCAAUCUCUGGUAUAGUGGUUCCAAGUGGUAUGGAAACGAGAGCUAUAAAACAGCAGUCUCCAACCUUUCCGGAUCGGUGGUGGUGUAAGGGGGAGAUAGCAUGGUUUUGUGUGCGUGCACACACCGCGUUUACAAAUGUAGUUUCACACCAAUGCUCUCGCCCACAACUCCAUGGCCCAGCACUGGAGACCCUUGCUAUAAAAUAUUCCUACAUAUAUAAUAGCUUCAGCUUGAGAAACAUUUUACAGCCCCCCCCCCCCAAAAAUCCGGGGCUUUUGACAAAAAAGGGCAAAAUAUAAAGUAAUCUGUAGGAAAGAAGAUUGAAUGCCUUUUCAGCAUUAAAUUUUUAUUCAGAAUAUAAGAACAUUUAUAAAAGUGUUAUAAAUGUCUCUGUAUAAAUAACUAGUUUGUACAAUUCUAUCAAAUAAACACAAACUGCUAUUUUACAGCUUCUAAAAAAACCUUAGAAAAACCAAUGAAAAUGGUGGUUUUCAACAAAAAAUGGUCAAUAUAAACAGGAACAAUACUGACAUUUAAUUUAAAAGUGUGCUUGCUCUGUUUUGUAAAUAAUACAUUCGAGCUGAUGUAAAAAUCAUGCCUUGAAAAAAGUAACAAAUAAUAUUCUGCACAAUAUGCUAGAUGCACCAAUUCUAGAAGCCUGUUUUAACUGUAAUUUAUGAAAUAAGCUUUUGCUUAAUAGACAGAAUGGAUAUUAAUUGCAUUACGAUGGUGGAUUUAUUCUAGCAUGUCUGCCAGCUUUCGCAAAACCAAGAUACUAGAUGCAUCUGAAAGGUUUUGCUCAGCUAACGCCACUGAUGGAAUGCUGGAGGAGGUGCAGAUUUCCCUUAUCUCACAUCAUUUGGAAACUGCCGGAAGAAAAUGCCAAGAUUGCUGCAUUCUUUUCUUUUGGCAUGAUAUGCUGGCUGAAAAGCCAUCAAUUCAAAGAAUCCAAUUUGCAUACAUUAAAAUUAGGACUCUCCUGUCCACCUAGCAGGUCAAAACAUGCAAAUAUGAGAUUAAUAGGUACCACUGGUGGGAAGUAACAGCGUUCUGUGCGCCUUUGGGGUAUAGCCAUACUGGCCACAAGACCACAGAAAUUUCUGAGGACAGUGCUGGCUCCCUUGGCCAAGAAAUGGAGAUAAGCACUGUGCCCAGAGUCGGACAUGACUGCACAGGGAAAUUUUAACCUUUAACCUCUGGCAAAAAAGAUAGCAGUUAACCUUUUUGUAUUUCAUGCUGCCAUCUGUUAGUUAUGUGGAUUGUUCUAAUCCAGAUGCAGUUGAUCCGAUUUGUGAUGUGCUUUUAAACUUCAUACUAAAUAUAAUUAUUUCUUAUUCAGAGCCAAUAACAUACUCAAGUGUGUCAAAAUAAAGCACUGAAACUAGACUGGGUAGAUUACUCAGUAUCCUUUUAAUGCUUGUUGAAUCAAUGCUACCAUAGCCAAGUUUGGAAUGAAAUACCACGAAGGUUUGUAGUGAGCUGUUUUAAAUUAACAUUUUUUCAUAACUCUACUGGGAUGUGGUUUUAUUUUAUGUGUGCUGACAGUCACUUUUGCCUGUAGGAACAGAGAGGCUAGUCGGUAUAUUUUAUCUAUAGUAUGUUCUGAUCAAAUGAUUUGCUAGCAGCACUUACAAGGCUGACUGACUCUGGUUUUCUGAGCAAGACUGGAAACUAACUGCCAAACUAGAUCAGGAUAAUUCAUAUUAUUGGCCUCUAUGUUGUCAUUUCCAAAUUAACCAGCAUUGUUCUAUAAUCUACAUGCAGAGUAUAAAACUAGUUUGAACAGUUUUACUGGCAUUCUCAUCUUUGGUUACUGUAGAUUUUUUUGUUAUAGCCACCCAAAUUCUAUUCCGAUAUCGUGAAAAUUGUAAAAAAGAAUGCAACCAAAGAUCUAAUGCAAGAACUAUAUAUAAUGAGCUAUAUUUUCUCACCUGAGUGGGUUUACCUGAAAAUAUUUUUUGGGGUACUAAAGCUAUUACUACCUUGGGAUAAAAAUGUGAUAGCUUUGCUUAAGGAUGUUGUAAAUGCAUAUUUUUUUCAUAAGAUAAUUCAAGAUGAUUUCUUAUGUUUAAUGGUUAGCAAGGGGUCAUCAAUCCUCAGCAUUUAAUAUUCAAAACAAGAUUAUGCACCACUUCAGUCAAUCUACAUAAUGUGGUCUAUCCAGCCAGCAAGGGAACAGAUACAAAUUAGUUAGCUCUUAUAAUAGAAUCAAAAGAAUCUGACACCACCAACUGGAUU